rnacentral:rRNA from 1 species
CCUACGGGAGGCAGCAGUGAGGAAUAUUGGUCAAUGGACGAGAGUCUGAACCAGCCAAGUAGCGUGAAGGAUGACUGCCCUAUGGGUUGUAAACUUCUUUUAUAUGGGAAUAAAAUGUUCCACGUGUGGGAUUUUGUAUGUACCAUAUGAAUAAGGAUCGGCUAACUCCGUGCCAGCAGCCGCGGUAAUACGGAGGAUCCGAGCGUUAUCCGGAUUUUUUGGGUUUAAAGGGAGCGUAGGUGGAUUGUUAAGUCAGUUGUGAAAGUUUGCGGCUCAACCGUAAAAUUGCAGUUGAAACUGGCAGUCUUGAGUACAGUAGAGGUGGGCGGAAUUCGUGGUGUAGCGGUGAAACGCUUAGAUAUCACGAAGAACUCCGAUUGCGAAGGCAGCUCACUGGACUGCAACUGACACUGAGGCUCGAAAGUGUGGGUAUCAAACAGGAUUAGAUACCCGAGUAGUC